rnacentral:rRNA from 1 species
GAUGAACGCUAGCUACAGGCUUAACACAUGCAAGUCGAGGGGUAACGAGAGGAAAGCUUGCUUUCCUUGUCGACGACCGGCGCACGGGUGAGUAACGCGUAUCCAACCUGCCCCCAACUAGGGAAUAACCUUGCGAAAGUAAGACUAAUACCCUAUAAUUUCCUCAGAUGCCAUCUGACGAGGAAUAAAGAUUUAUCGGUUGUGGAUGGGAUGCGUCUGAUUAGCUUGUUGGCGGGGUAACGGCCCACCAAGGCAACGAUCAGUAGGGGUUCUGAGAGGAAGGUCCCCCACACUGGAACUGAGACACGGUCCAAACUCCUACGGGAGGCAGCAGUGAGGAAUAUUGGUCAAUGGGCGGAAGCCUGAACCAGCCAAGUAGCGUGCAGGAUGACGGCCCUAUGGGUUGUAAACUGCUUUUAUACAGGAAUAAAGUUAGCCACGUGUGGUUAUUUGUAGGUACUGUAUGAAUAAGGACCGGCUAAUUCCGUGCCAGCAGCCGCCGUAA